AAGUAGUAAGAAGUUUUUCCUAUAUAUAUAUAUAGCGGCCUUCCGCUUGGUAGAUUUCAUCUUUGAUGUAUUCACACACAUUCUUGAAAACUUUGAAUUGUUUAGUCAAAGACAUUGAAAGCAACUUGUUCAUUGAAUUAAUUAAUUGUUCAAAUUGGUCAAACAGUCAAACACAAGGAGAGAUGCUAUUAAUUCAACGGCAAAGUCUCGUCCCAAAAUUGCCAUGAUAUAAUAAUUUUUCCAAAAAAAGAAUAAAAUGUAUGUGAGAUGAAAUUUUUUAAUGAGAAAACUCGGUAUUGUGGUAAUGAAAUAAAGACUUAUGAAGGAAUAAAGACGCUGAUGAAAUAUUAUUGUACAAUUGGCGAGGAUGCCUCAAUAUAUGACGAUUAAGUCUGAACACAUUUUGAUGAACUUAGAGAGAAAGAUCAAACUAAUUAACCGAAAUAUCGUUUUAAUAUCAAAUGAUGUGUUGGUUUAAGGCCUCUUUUAACUUUUUCGUUCUUUUUUUCUUCAAAAAUAUAUUUCUCUGGAGCUUAACCAAAGAACGCGUAGCAAAAAUAGAUUUUUUAAACUCCAAAAAAUAAGCGUAGAAGGCUAGAUUGUGUAUAUGCGGCAACUAAGGAUUUUCUGUUUGACUUUGCAAUGGAAGGAUAACGGUAAGGGAGUUUUAAUAUUUUUUGAAAGUCCACGGAGUUGGGAAUGUCGGGAGAAGGAAUCUCCGCUACUUUAUCAGGCUUGCUGGAUCGAUGGGAGUUGUUUUUUUUACAGUUUUAUAAUGAGGCACUUUAAGUUGUUGACAAGCAAUACUUCUUUGAGGUGGCUGCAAAUGUGAAUGAUGGCAAAAUAGUUUAAGAGAUGCGAAAGUUUUAACCUAGCAAAGGAAGUCGGCAACUUUCUGUAACGCGCUUUUCUUUUGUGGAGGAGUAUUGCUUUCGAGAUCUUCACUAUUUUUAUUAUCAUUGCUUUGGAGGUUUGGCUUGGUUAGAUCUUUUUCACUUAAUUCCGAAGUGCUCGACUCAGCUACAUACAUUUGUGAAUUUACCAAAUCAUAACGGCCCGUUGUAAGGUCUACAUCCUUUAGGGAUUGAAACGUUGGCUUCACGAAAAUCGGACUAAUCAGAAGAUAAGCGAUAAAAACAGACGGUCCUAAAAAUGAAACAAAGAAGCCGUAUGCACUCGGCUUCUCAUGUGUUACUGGGAAAAUCGAAAUGUAUACAAGUGCACAGAGUGCUAAAAAAUUGAUAAGGACUCCAUAGUAGCUAAGAUAAACGCUUCCAGGAAACUUAUAUGGUAAGACAGUGUCUGGAAUUUUCUGAGCCUUCAUUGCAUAUCGCAAACGGAUGUGAUCGAUAAAAGAAAGUCCCCAAAUUACGAAGGCUCCUCCACCCGAGACAGACAUUAGCCAGUCGAACACAACAGAACCGUCAGGUGCAGCAUUAACGUAAGCAAUACAAGCCAUGGCUAGCGAACACAAGUAUGAAAUUACGGGACGUCCCUUUUGAUCUACACGACCUAGGAAACGUGGUGCCCAUCCUUGCUUUACCAACGCCAUUGCAUUGCGAGACGCUGCGAAUACAGCUGCAUUACCUACAGAGAGAACGGAAACGAGAAUAACAGCAUUGGUGAUAUGUGGUAGUACAUGAAUUCCUCCAUUCUUGAUCGCAAUAAUGAAUGGACUGACAUUACCCAGGUCUGGGUUAUCAUACGGGACUACUAAAGUGAUCAAGAAGAUGGUGAUGAUGUAGAAGAAGCCCAUACGGUAGAACACCUUUUUCACAGCACUUGGAAUUGCACGUUGAGGAUUGCUGGUAUUUCCAGCAGCCGUACCUAUGUUCUCAGUACCCGACAACGAAUAGGCUGAGGAAAUAAAUACGGAGCAAAAACCUUUGAAACCGUUACGAAACGAUCCUGGAUGAUGCCAAUAGUGCGCACCAAUGUAGCCACCUUUUGGAGCAGCUCCACAGUUGAUGAUAAUUGCAACGAAGAAGAAGAUGAUAACAAUGACGACUUUUAAAAAUGAACUAACGAAUUCACAUUCACCAUAGCUACGGGCUCCAAAUGCAUUAACUAAGACAACAUAAGCCAAGAAGAUAGUUACCCAAAUAGCUGGGUUUAAGUGCUGUGUUGUCCAAAAGUCAACUACUUCGCAAGCGGCAGAGAUUUCACUAGGCAAGACGGUCAGCCAUAUCCAAAAAUAUAACCAUGACUGCGCAAAACCAAUGUUAUUAUUUAACAAUCGUCCAGUGUACAUUGUGAUACUACUUUGAUUUGGUAGGAAACAACACAUUUCUCCUAGAGAAAGAAUUAAAGCGAGAAUCAUUGCGCUGAGGAUAAUGAAAUUAAUCAUUAGACUUCCCGGUCCAGCGUUUUUUAAAGAUUUGCCAGUGGAAACAAAAAGACCCGUACCAAUACAGCUACCAAUGGCGAUCAUUUGCAAAUGCCUCGGUUUCAAAAAGUCCUCACUGUUGUGCACUUCAGCAAACUCAUUGUCUGGGCGCAACUUGUAGGAGCGAAAAAAAUCCAAGAAAGAGGUUCCAACCGAUUUUUCUUUGUAAGAUUCAAUUGUUCCGUUUCCAUUGGUGGUACUUGGAACAAUAAUUUCCGGAACUGGCGACUCUAUUUCAUCCAGUUUUUUUGAUUCCGUAAACGAAGUCAUAUUGUAUGAUAAGUUUUAUUUUUUUUUUACAGUUUAUUAAACAACGACACUAAAAAAAAGUAAAUAAAAAAAACUGCACACUAUUCAACUGAUGUUUAUGGGAAAGACGGGGAAAAAAUUCAAAUUGGCAGGUGCAGGUGAUUUUAAAGAGUAAUAAUGGUGGUCGUCAGAAAAUAUGUAGCUUAUAAUUCUUUCUUAAAAAAAUAAAAAGCAAAACAGUGAAUUAAUCGAUAUUUUGGUUGUUUUCGAGCAGCCCUCAAGUAAAUCUCUUUUAAUGAUUUUUACUAUGAAUAUUGAAAACUUUUUGUUCGUGAUGUUUUGCCCAAUCCCUCUUAUUAACAGCCCGUUUAUUAAUUAACUCUAAUUUUAUAAAUAUAGAACUGUAAGAUAUAGUCGGCAAUUUGAUUAGCUGACUUGGUUUUCCUGAGAGACUAACAAUUCUCGAGUUUUGGGAAAGGUGAUUUUGCGCAGGGCGAUCCCGCUUUGGUUUCGGUUGGGAUGUUAGCGAAACGGAUAAUAAUUAACGAGCUGUUGCAAAAGUUCGAUAAACGCUUUCGGUUUUUAUAGAAGCUUGAUUAUGUCAGUAGGAGUAUAAUUAAAAAACAGGAUAAUGUUUGAUUUUUAGAGAUUCUUUUGUGAUGGUUUUAGAAAAUAUAUCUAAAAGUUUGCACCAAUAAUUACCUAGUAGAACUGUUUAGUCAACCUUCACAAUAUUUGGGUCUAAGUGGGGGAUGUGGGAUAGACUAUUUUAGAC